UUUAGCGAUACCUCAAAUGCCCAUAGUGCGGGGUAUUACGGGAGGGGCGUGUUUUUACAUUUGUGCGAGGUCUUCGAUGCAUGACUUGAAGUGGCCAGGAUUGAAGUGGUGCACAGCAUAGGUGGGCAGAUGAUUCCAUUCGUUUGCUGUUCGAAUGAAAAACGAGUUGAGAUGCACAGUAGUGUGUGCAGACUGUGAGUACACAGCUUUAGAAUGACUGUUGCAGAGCGAAAGGCAAUGAGCAGGUAUGAUAAUAGAGCAAGCAAGAGACCAGUGAUAAAACUUGUGGUAGAGGGGCAGGCGCGCUAUUUUUCUGCGUGACUCAAGACGGGUAAGAUUAGCUCUGUUUUAGUUAAGAGACCUAGAAGAGCGAGUAAUCUGAGAAAAUAAAUCUAAUAGCGUGGUUUUGGAUUAAUUCAAGAGCUUUUUGUAGGUUAACCUGAUGCGGGUCCCAAACUGUACAUGCGUAUUCCAGCUUCGGACAAGCAAACAUUUGGUACAUGAGCAGUUUUAUAUGGGACGCGGUAAACUUAAGGUCACGCCGGACAUAGCCAAGGACACUGCUAGCUUCGUUUGUUAGACUUGUGAUACGACCAGCUGAGAUCACGAGUCGCUGUGACACCCAGGACUUGCAUGAUGACACUAAAGAUAACUCUGAACCAAAAACGACUAUGUGCUUGACAAAGAAAGACUUACACUGACCAAAUAAAACUCUAAAAGCAAGACUUCCAAAUCGAAGCCUUGUUCACGAUGGGUUAACAAUAGUUCACAAAUUUUUCACAAUGGGUUCAGCCGAAACGUCUUGCAUUUGAAGUUUUAUUUGGUCAGUGUAAGUCUUUCUUCAUGUUCCAUCCUGACCAGACAGGCUUCCGUUGAACUCUCGAUUACGCCUAUGUGCUUGGUAGGAAGCUCGGUGGUGGAAGAUCUCUGAAGUUUUCCUGACAUUUAAAGACAUUAACAAAGUUCGACACCAGUUUUUCAACCAUUAGUAAAUCAUUUUGAAGGGCAAUGCUAUCGUGGAAGCUAUUAAUAGGCUGGUCAAGGACAAUCGUGUGCGAAAAGGCAAAUAGAGGAGAUGUUAGUCUGUAGGUCAUUGAUAAAGAUGAGAAAAAAGUAUGUGCAUAGAUUUUGUGUCUGGGAUUAACUAGUGCACUAUGUCCAGUAGACAACAGCAGACAACAGAAAGGAGUCGGGCAACAUAACCUAUUGCACAUGUGCCCCCAAGUCAAGCCACGACCACUCUUUGUCGUCUGUUGCAAAGUAGCACGUUCAAUGGAAUGUACCUGCAUGGCACGGUAGGCAACAAAAACGAGUCUAGUUUCUGCAGCACUACAAAAGUUGACAGUGCAGGCAGGAAGAGUGAGCAGACACGAACUGGACAUGCCAACACCCUGGUGUGCUGUUCACAGCACUGAACGCUAAUAAGUACAAAACUUUGGGAUAAUUGCUCGAAAGUAUUCACCUUGCUUUUUGGAUAAGUAAUGCCCGUGGACUGAAUGAUAUUUACUUGAAAAAAUAAGGUUGUGGAAACUUA